rnacentral:rRNA from 1 species
GGACACGUGGUAUCCUGUCUGAAUAUGGGGGGACCAUCCUCCAAGGCUAAAUACUCCUGACUGACCGAUAGUGAACCAGUACCGUGAGGGAAAGGCGAAAAGAACCCCGGCGAGGGGAGUGAAAAAGAACCUGAAACCGUGUACGUACAAGCAGUGGGAGCACAGAGCAAUCUGUGUGACUGCGUACCUUUUGUAUAAUGGGUCAGCGACUUAUAUUCUGUAGCAAGGUUAACCGAAUAGGGGAGCCGAAGGGAAACCGAGUCUUAACUGGGCGUUAAGUUGCAGGGUAUAGACCCGAAACCCGGUGAUCUAGCCAUGGGCAGGUUGAAGGUUGGGUAACACUAACUGGAGGACCGAACCGACUAAUGUUGAAAAAUUAGCGGAUGACUUGUGGCUGGGGGUGAAAGGCCAAUCAAACCGGGAGAUAGCUGGUUCUCCCCGAAAGCUAUUUAGGUAGCGCCUCGUGAAUUCAUCUCCGGGGGUAGAGCACUGUUUCGGCAAGGGGGUCAUCCCGACUUACCAACCCGAUGCAAACUGCGAAUACCGGAGAAUGUUAUCACGGGAGACACACGGCGGGUGCUAACGUCCGUCGUGAAGAGGGAAACAACCCAGACCGCCAGCUAAGGUCCCAAAGUCAUGGUUAAGUGGGAAACGAUGUGGGAAGGCCCAGACAGCCAGGAUGUUGGCUUAGAAGCAGCCAUCAUUUAAAGAAAGCGUAAUAGCUCACUGGUCGAGUCGGCCUGCGCGGAAGAUGUAACGGGGCUAAACCAUGCACCGAAGCUGCGGCAGCGACGCUUAUGCGUUGUUGGGUAGGGGAGCGUUCUGUAAGCCUGCGAAGGUGUGCUGUGAGGCAUGCUGGAGGUAUCAGAAGUGCGAAUGCUGACAUAAGUAACGAUAAAGCGGGUGAAAAGCCCGCUCGCCGGAAGACCAAGGGUUCCUGUCCAACGUUAAUCGGGGCAGGGUGAGUCGACCCCUAAGGCGAGGCCGAAAGGCGUAGUCGAUGGGAAACAGGUUAAUAUUCCUGUACUUGGUGUUACUGCGAAGGGGGGACGGAGAAGGCUAUGUUGGCCGGGCGACGGUUGUCCCGGUUUAAGCGUGUAGGCUGGUUUUCCAGGCAAAUCCGGAAAAUCAAGGCUGAGGCGUGAUGACGAGGCACUACGGUGCUGAAGCAACAAAUGCCCUGCUUCCAGGAAAAGCCUCUAAGCAUCAGGUAACAUCAAAUCGUACCCCAAACCGACACAGGUGGUCAGGUAGAGAAU